UCCGAAAUAGUAUAGUGGCUAGUAUACCCCGCUCUCAUCAGAUCAUCAGAAACGAUAGUGCCGGGGAGACCGGGGUUCAAUUCCCCGUUUCGGAA